GCUAAACCAUGCACCGAAGCUGCGGCAGCGAACGUAUCACCCAAGACAACUUUACGGAGUUGACGAUUGACGGAGCGAAGCGACGUCAAAGCGUUCAUUAAAGUCGAGUUGGCUUAGGGAUACGUUCGUUGGGUAGGGGAGCGUUCUGUAAGCCUGUGAAGGUGUGUCGUGAGGCAUGCUGGAGGUAUCAGAAGUGCGAAUGCUGACAUAAGUAACGAUAAAGCGGGUGAAAAGCCCGCUCGCCGGAAGACCAAGGGUUCCUGUCCAACGUUAAUCGGGGCAGGGUGAGUCGACCCCUAAGGCGAGGCCGAAAGGCGUAGUCGAUGGGAAACGGGUUAAUAUUCCCGUACUUGGUGUUACUGCGAAGGGGGGACGGAGAAGGCUAUGUUGGCCGGGCGACGGUUGUCCCGGUUUAAGCGUGUAGGUGUGUGUUCCAGGUAAAUCCGGUUCACUUUAACACUGAGGCGUGACGACGAGGCACUACGGUGCUGAAGCAACAAAUGCCCUGCUUCCAGGAAAAGCCUCUAAGCAUCAGGUAACAUCAAAUCGUACCCCAAACCGACACAGGUGGUCAGGUAGAGAAUACCAAGGCGCUUGAGAGAACUCGGGUGAAGGAACUAGGCAAAAUGGUGCCGUAACUUCGGGAGAAGGCACGCUGACACGUAGGUGAAGUGAUUUACUCAUGGAGCUGAAGUCAGUCGAAGAUACCAGCUGGCUGCAACUGUUUAUUAAAAACACAGCACUGUGCAAACACGAAAGUGGACGUAUACGGUGUGACGCCUGCCCGGUGCCGGAAGGUUAAUUGAUGGGGUCAGCGCAAGCGAAGCUCCUGAUCGAAGCCCCGGUAAACGGCGGCCGUAACUAUAACGGUCCUAAGGUAGCGAAAUUCCUUGUCGGGUAAGUUCCGACCUGCACGAAUGGCGUAAUGAUGGCCAGGCUGUCUCCACCCGAGACUCAGUGAAAUUGAACUCGCUGUGAAGAUGCAGUGUACCCGCGGCAAGACGGAAAGACCCCGUGAACCUUUACUAUAGCUUGACACUGAACAUUGAGCCUUGAUGUGUAGGAUAGGUGGGAGGCUUUGAAGUGUGGACGCCAGUCUGCAUGGAGCCGACCUUGAAAUACCACCCUUUAAUGUUUGAUGUUCUAACGUGGACCCGUAAUCCGGGUUGCGGACAGUGUCUGGUGGGUAGUUUGACUGGGGCGGUCUCCUCCUAAAGAGUAACGGAGGAGCACGAAGGUUGGCUAAUCCUGGUCGGACAUCAGGAGGUUAGUGCAAUGGCAUAAGCCAGCUUGACUGCGAGCGUGACGGCGCGAGCAGGUGCGAAAG
rnacentral:rRNA from 1 species